CCUUUCUGGAUAAAUGGAGGGAGGGAGGGAUAGACAGGUGGAAAGACGGGGAAGAUGGAGGGAUGCUUGGAUAUUUGGCGGGUCCGAUUUUCAGCUCCAAUCCACUAGGGGGCACUAAGAGACCACUUGCGUGGUUAUGCCCGUGUGAUGCCCCUCCAAGUUGCAGCCGGCGCCCAGAUUUCCGCCGGCGCUGAGGGGUUGGAGGUCGCAGCCUUAUCUUGCGUUUCCGCCAGAGUUGAGCUGGGUGGUCCUGCACCUUCUGGCGCUGUCCCCUCCGAGCCCGCUGCCACCGGUCCUGGUUCCCGAGUGAGUCGCUGCCAGGCCAGGCUGCGUUGUGCUGCAUCCACCUGCUCUCGAUGAGAGGAGAGACUGAGGCCCCGAGGGGCGUGGGGAGCCGGCCAGAGGCCAGCUCGGAGCCUAGGCCCGGCUCCCGGGUGCGUGCCCGCGUCCUCCGCCGGGUGUGGACCUCUCUGCGUCUGUGUCCACGAGAGAGGGGUCUCGGGUCUUGAGACUGUGAUAUUUGGAGACACAUGACAACUCUCUUGAAGGGCCUUUGGGGCUCUGCACCAGCCAGCUGCCUUUCUCUCCUGCCUCCCUGAUCUCACUGCCUGAUGCACCCGCACCGUGUCCAGAGGGGGAGGCCGUCUCCUAGAGAGAGGGCAAUGGAAGGA